UGACAUACACUAUUGAUUAUAUAUCUCUAUUUUCCUCCUAAUUUAGAUCUCAAAUAAAAGCCGUUCAAACUUCAAAGUUUCCUAAAUUAUAGUAGACGAGUAAAAUAAGGAAGGUUACUAUCGUCGUUUUCAAAUUUAUCAACGGCCGCAAAUUUCCGAGAAAAUCCCGAAACCAUGUGCACUGCACAAAAGGAAGGGUGGUACUGUAAUUCUAUCUCCUCAUCCCCCUAUUUAAAUUUCCCUCACCACGCUUCCCAAUCGUAUCGAAACUCUCAAGGCUAUCGCAACAAUUUUCCGUCUCUCAGUCUCUCUCUUCCGCUUUCGUUUCUAGCCUCAGAAUUCUAGGGUUUCGUUCUCAUUCCAAAGCGCCGAAACUUUGGUUUUGAUCGGUAUUUCGGAAGAAGAGGGGUUCCGAGGAGUAUAUACCUAUUGUUUACAAUCUUUAUAUUAUUG